rnacentral:rRNA from 1 species
AACAAACGCUGGCGGCGUGUCUUAAGCAUGCAAGUUGAGCGGCAAGGAGGAGAGAUCCUCCCUAGAGCGGCGGACUGGUGAGUAACGCGUGGGUAAUCUAUCUUAGGCAUGGGGAUAGUCACUAGAAAUAGUGGGUAAUACCGAAUAAGUUCCAUAAGGGGAGGACUUAUGGAAGAAAGGUGCUACGGCACUGGCCUUAGGUGAGCUCGCGUCCCAUUAGCUAGUUGGUGAGGUAAAGGCCCACCAAGGCGAUGAUGGGUAGCCGGCCUGAGAGGGUGUACGGCCACACUGGGACUGAGAUACGGCCCAGACUCCUACGGGAGGCAGCAGCUAAGAAUAUUCCGCAAUGGACGGAAGUCUGACGGAGCGACGCCGCGUGGAUGAAGAAGGCCGAAAGGUUGUAAAGUUCUUUUGCUAGGGAGAAUAAGUGUGGGAGGGAAUGCCUGCACGAUGACAAGGACUAGCGAAUAAGUCCCGGCCAACUACGUGCCAGCAGCCGC